UACGAAGGGGGCUAGCGUUGUUCGGAUUUACUGGGCGUAAAGCGCACGUAGGCGGAUCUUUAAGUCAGGGGUGAAAUCCCGAGGCUCAACCUCGGAACUGCCUUUGAUACUGGGGGUCUCGAGUCCGGGAGAGGUGAGUGGAACUGCGAGUGUAGAGGUGAAAUUCGUAGAUAUUCGCAAGAACACCAGUGGCGAAGGCGGCUCACUGGCCCGGUACUGACGCUGAGGUGCGAAAGCGUGGGGAGCAAACAGG
rnacentral:rRNA from 1 species